AUUUUCUUUAGCUGACGAUAUAGACCUAAUAAUACCAUGAAGAAUGAUACAAGUCUCAUUAAAAUCCAUGAUCACAUAACGAAGAUAUAUCGACUUUUUGUAUCGAAAAUCAGCCGUCCGCCAUAUGCAAUAGCGUUACAUGGGCAUGAAACGAUCGCCAAAAAAUAACCGAUAGUAUCGAAAUUGUGACGUAUGUUGCGAGCUGCCUUAUUUCGCAGACAUUCACUUUCGCUCGCGGUACACUGUUAUCGCACUGACACGACGAAUCAUGAAUGAAAGUGAAA